rnacentral:rRNA from 1 species
GACGAACCGUGCGAACGUUGUUCGGAUUCACUGGGCUUAAAGGGCGCGUAGGCGGGCGGUCAAGUCAGGGGUGAAAGCGUUCGGCCCAACCGGACAAGGGCCUUUGAGACUGAUCGUCUGGAGGGAGAUAGGGGCAGGUGGAACUUCCGGUGGAGCGGUGAAAUGCGUAGAUAUCGGAAGGAACGCCGGUGGCGAAAGCGGCCUGCUGGAUCUCCACUGACGCUGAGGCGCGAAAGCCAGGGGAG